rnacentral:rRNA from 1 species
GACGAACGCUGGCGGCGUGCUUAACACAUGCAAGUCGAACGGAAAGGCCCUGCUUUUGUGUGUUUCUCGAGUGGCGAACGGGUGAGUAACACGUGAGUAACCUGCCCUUGACUUUGGGAUAACUUCAGGAAACUGGGGCUAAUACCGGAUAGGAUCUCCUGCUGCAUGUUGUGGGUUGGAAAGUUUCGGCGGUUGGGGAUGGACUCGCGGCUUAUCAGCUUGUUGGUGGGGUAGUGGCUUACCAAGGCUUUGACGGGUAGCCGGCCUGAGAGGGUGACCGGCCACAUUGGGACUGAGAGACGGCCCAGAAUGCUACGGGAGGCAGCAGGGGGGAAUAUGGCACAAUGGGCGGAAGCCUGAUGCAGCAACGCCGCGUGCGGGAUGACGGCCUUCGGGUUGUAAACAGAUUUCGCCUGUGACGAAGCGUGAGUGACGGUAAUGGGUAAAGAAGCACCGGCUAACUACGUG